GUCACAUACUCAUAAUUUCUACUACAAUGUACUAGCGCUACUAGUAGUACUAAGAUUGGAUAGCUAGAGUCUAGUCAUCUACAUGAAGUUAUACAGCCUGUUAUGUGUCGCUCUUCUCCUGGGGAUCGUCCAAGGAGAGGGAUGAUGUUCGGCUAUAUAUUUGAGACAAGUAUCACGUUCACGAACGGUUACCACAAGACUCUCAAACUUGUCAAACUAACGAUAGCUCUGCAUGCAUGAGCUACCUUCUCUUCCUAUUGCAUGCACGGGAGUUAUUUUGGUUUUGUUUUCCUACUCAGUCUCUCACUAUGUUACACUCAUUUGUUGAUGUGCAUCACAGGUAUAGUGCAUCAUUGAACAAUGGAAAUUAUAAUUAUAGUUAUUAUG